GGCUUCGUAGCUCAGCUUGGUAGAGCACUGGACUCUUAAUCCAGGUGUCGGGGGUUCAAAUCCCCUCGAGGCCA
rnacentral:tRNA from 1 species